rnacentral:rRNA from 1 species
AUUGAACGCUGGCGGCAUGCCUUACACAUGCAAGUCGAACGGCAGCACGGGGCAACCUGGUGGCGAGUGGCGAACGGGUGAGUAAUGCAUCGGAACGUGCCAUUGAGUGGGGGAUAACGUAGCGAAAGUUGCGCUAAUACCGCAUAUUCUGUGAGCAGGAAAGCAGGGGGACCGCAAGGCCUUGCGCUCUUUGAGCGGCCGAUGUCAGAUUAGCUAGUUGGUGAGGUAACGGCUUACCAAAGGCGACGAUCUGUAGCGGGUCUGAGAGGAUGAUCCGCACACUGGAACUGAGACACGGUCCAGACUCCUACGGGAGGCAGCAGUGGGAAUUUGGACAAUGGGCGCAAGCCGUGAUCCAGCCAUCGCCGCGUGAGUGAAGAGGCC